rnacentral:rRNA from 1 species
CAGUCGCCGCGGGAAUACAGAGGGUGCAAGCGUUAAUCGGAAUUACUGGGCGUAAAGCGCGCGUAGGUGGUUUGUUAAGUUGGAUGUGAAAUCCCCGGGCUCAACCUGGGAACUGCAUUCAAAACUGACUGACUAGAGUAUGGUAGAGGGUGGUGGAAUUUCCUGUGUAGCGGUGAAAUGCGUAGAUAUAGGAAGGAACACCAGUGGCGAAGGCGACCACCUGGACUAAUACUGACACUGAGGUGCGAAAGCGUGGGGAGCAAACAGGAUUAGAUACCCCGGUAGUCCCUGUCUCUUAUAC